UACGUAGGGGGCAAGCGUUGUCCGGAAUCAUUGGGCGUAAAGCGCUCGUAGGUGGAUCGGUAAGUCUGCAAAGAAAGACCCGGGCUCAACUCGGGGAACGGUGUGGAUACUACCGAUCUUGAGGCAAUCAGAGGAUGAUGGAAUUCCCGGUGUAGCGGUGAAAUGCGUAGAUAUCGGGAGGAACGCCAGUGGCGAAGGCGAUCAUCUGGGGUUGUUCUGACACUGAGGAGCGAAAGCUAGGGGAGCAAACGGG
rnacentral:rRNA from 1 species